UACAGAGGCCUCAAGCGUUGUUCGGAUUCAUUGGGCGUAAAGGGUGCGUAGGCGGCGCGGUAAGUCGGGUGUGAAAUCUCGGGGCUUAACUCCGAAACUGCAUUCGAUACUGCCGUGCUUGAGGACUGGAGAGGAGACUGGAAUUUACGGUGUAGUGGUGAAAUGCGUAGAUAUCGUAAGGAAGACCAGUGGCGAAGGCGGGUCUCUGGACAGUUCCUGACGCUGAGGCACGAAGGCCAGGGGAGCAAACGGG
rnacentral:rRNA from 1 species